UACGUAGGAGGCAAGCGUUGUCCGGAAUUACUGGGCGUAAAGCGCGUGUAGGUGGUGGGACAAGUCUGCUGUGAAAGCGCCUGGCUUAACCGGGCGAGGUCGGCGGAAACUGUCCGACUAGAGGACGGUAGAGGGGGGUGGAAUUCCCGGUGUAGUGGUGAAAUGCGUAGAGAUCGGGAGGAACACCCGUAGCGAAGGCGGCACUCUGGGCCGGAACUGACGCUGAGGAGCGAAAGCGUGGGGAGCAAACAGGG
rnacentral:rRNA from 1 species